AAAAUGCACAUACUGUGAGCUCGAUGAGUAGGGCGGGACACGUGGUAUCCUGUCUGAAUAUGGGGGGACCAUCCUCCAAGGCUAAAUACUCCUGACUGACCGAUAGUGAACCAGUACCGUGAGGGAAAGGCGAAAAGAACCCCGGCGAGGGGAGUGAAAAAGAACCUGAAACCGUGUACGUACAAGCAGUGGGAGCACGCUUAGGCGUGUGACUGCGUACCUUUUGUAUAAUGGGUCAGCGACUUAUAUUCUGUAGCAAGGUUAACCGAAUAGGGGAGCCGAAGGGAAACCGAGUCUUAACUGGGCGUUAAGUUGCAGGGUAUAGACCCGAAACCCGGUGAUCUAGCCAUGGGCAGGUUGAAGGUUGGGUAACACUAACUGGAGGACCGAACCGACUAAUGUUGAAAAAUUAGCGGAUGACUUGUGGCUGGGGGUGAAAGGCCAAUCAAACCGGGAGAUAGCUGGUUCUCCCCGAAAGCUAUUUAGGUAGCGCCUCGUGAAUUCAUCUCCGGGGGUAGAGCACUGUUUCGGCAAGGGGGUCAUCCCGACUUACCAACCCGAUGCAAACUGCGAAUACCGGAGAAUGUUAUCACGGGAGACACACGGCGGGUGCUAACGUCCGUCGUGAAGAGGGAAACAACCCAGACCGCCAGCUAAGGUCCCAAAGUCAUGGUUAAGUGGGAAACGAUGUGGGAAGGCCCAGACAGCCAGGAUGUUGGCUUAGAAGCAGCCAUCAUUUAAAGAAAGCGUAAUAGCUCACUGGUCGAGUCGGCCUGCGCGGAAGAUGUAACGGGGCUAAACCAUGCACCGAAGCUGCGGCAGCGACGCUGAUGCGUUGUUGGGUA
rnacentral:rRNA from 1 species